rnacentral:rRNA from 1 species
GACGAACGCUGGCGGCGUGCUUAACACAUGCAAGUCGAACGAAGUGGCGAACGGGUGAGUAACGCGUAAUCAACAUGCCCUUCAGAGGGGUACAACAGUUGGAAACGACUGCUAAUACUGCAUACAGAAGGCGGGGAUUGUGUGUGAUUAGCUGGUUGGUGGGGUAACGUCCCACCAUAGCCAUGAUCAGUAGCCGGUGUGAAGGAAAGAAAAGCCGCGAUGGAGAUGGGAAACGGGCCAGACGCAUACGGUAAGAAGCAGUGGGGAAACUUCCGCAAUGGGGGAAAUUCUGACGGAACAAAGCCGCAUGAGUGAUAACGGCCAUCAGGUUGUAAAGCUCUGUUAAUCGGGACGCGGUACCGGAAUAGAAAGCCACGGCUAACUACGUGCCAGCAGCCGCGGUAGUUC